CCCUUAGAUGUUCUGGGCCGCACGCGCGCUACACUGAUGCAUUCAACGAGUCUAAAACCUGCUCUGAUAGGGGUGGGUAAUCUUUUGAAUGUGUAUCGUGAUUGGGAUAGAUGAUUGCAAUUUUUCAUCUUCAACGAGGAAUGCCUAGUAAACGCAAGUCAUCAGCUUGCAUUGAUUACGUCCCUGCCCUUUGUACACACCGCCCGUCGCUCCUACCGAUUGAAUGAUCCGAUGAAUAUCAUGGAUUGAGGAUGCAAGCAGGUUCGCCUGUCUUCAUCUUCGAGAAGUGAAGUAAAUCUUAUCAUUUAGAGGAAGGAGAAGUCGUAACA
rnacentral:rRNA from 1 species